GACGAACGCUGGCGGCGUGCUUAACACAUGCAAGUCGAACGGUAAGGCCCUUCGGGGUACACGAGUGGCGAACGGGUGAGUAACACGUGGGUGAUCUGCCCUGUACUUCGGGAUAAGCCCGGGAAACUGGGUCUAAUACCGGAUAGGACCACUGCCCGCAUGGGUGGUGGUGGAAAGCUUUUGCGGUGUGGGAUGGGUCCGCGGCCUAUCAGCUUGUUGGUGGGGUGAUGGCCUACCAAGGGGACGACGGGUAGCCGGCCUGAGAGGGGGACCGGCCACACUGGGACUGAGAUACGGCCCAGACUCCUACGGGAGGCAGCAGUGGGGAAUAUUGCACAAUGGGCGCAAGCCUGAUGCAGCGACGCCGCGUGAGGGAUGACGGCCUUCGGGUUGUAAACCUAUUUCAGCACCGACGAAGCGCAAGUGACGGUAGGUGCAGAAGAAGGACCGGCCAACUACGUGCCAGCCGCCGCUGUAA
rnacentral:rRNA from 1 species